UGGGGAAUUUUGGACAAUGGGGGAAACCCUGAUCCAGCAAUGCCGCGUGAGGGAAGAAGGCCUUCGGGUUGUAAAGCUCUUUUGUCAGGGAAGAAACACCGGCUCUAACACAGUCCGGGAAUGACGGUACCUGAAGAAUAAGCACCGGCUAACUACGUGCCAGCAGCCGCGGUAAUACGUAGGGUGCGAGCGUUAAUCGGAAUUACUGGGCGUAAAGAGUACGUAGGCGGGUGUUGAAGUCAGCGGGGA
rnacentral:rRNA from 1 species